UUCUUAUCUUGCUACAAAGUGCUGGAGGUUGGAGCUGAAUGUGCAAUGCUGAGAGACCAGGGCCAAGGACUGGAGAUCAGAGCCUUACUUCCUAGCCAGAAUUCAAGGGCUGUAUGCGGAACAAUUUGCCAGCAGGACCCGCAGAUGCAGCUCAGCAUCAGUAAAACAAAGGAGAUGGUGAUGGACUUUAGGAGGACUAAGCCUGCACUGCUUCCUGUUACUAUUGAUGGUGAGGAUGUGGAUGUGAUGAGGACCUACUAGUACCUCAGCUGGAUGCCAGACGAGUACAGCGCCAACACAGACGCUGUGUACAAGAAGGGUCAGAGUCACCUUUACUUCCUGAGGAGACUGAGGUCCUUUGGAGUAUGCAGGCCUCUCCUUCACAUGUUCUACCAGUCUGUUGUCACCAGACUAUGCGGUGGUGUGCUGGGGCAAUGGCAUCAACACGAGUGAUGCCAUCAGGCUCAAUAAAUUGAUUAGAAAGGCUGUUAUAUGAGUCAAACUUGACACACUGGAGGCUGUGGUAGAACAAGUGACCCUGUGGAAAAUCCUGGCAAUUCUGGACAAUGUUUCUCACCCUCUGCAUGCCAUCUAGGCUGAAUAGAGGACCACAUUCACUAAUAGACUAAGACAACUAUGCUGUUCCAAAGAGCGCUGUAUGAAGUCAUUCUCACCCCCAGCCAUUUGGCUCUGUAAUGAGUCAGUCUACAGGUGGGGAAGUGAUGACCCCCCUCCUGUUAGAUUGUUUGAGGUAACAUUUUUUAUUCUUUCUUACUUCUUAUCUAAUAUUUGUAUAUCUGUGCACUUGUAAUGUUACUGUGACAAUGUAGUUCCCUUUGAAAUCAAUAAA